rnacentral:rRNA from 1 species
UACGGGAGGCAGCAGUGGGGAAUAUUGCACAAUGGGCGAAAGCCUGAUGCAGCAACGCCGCGUGAGUGAUGAAGGUCUUCGGAUUGUAAAGCUCUGUCUUUUGGGACGAUAAUGACGGUACCAAAGGAGGAAGCCACGGCUAACUACGUGCCAGCAGCCGCGGUAAUACGUAGGUGGCAAGCGUUGUCCGGAAUUACUGGGCGUAAAGGAUGUGUAGGCGGAUUUUAAGUGAGAUGUGAAAUCCCCGAGCUCAACUUGGGGGCUGCAUUUCAAACUGGAUAUCUAGAGUGCAGGAGAGGAAAGCGGAAUUCCUAGUGUAGCGGUGAAAUGCGUAGAGAUUAGGAAGAACAUCAGUGGCGAAGGCGGCUUUCUGGACUGUAACUGACGCUGAGGCAUGAAAGCGUGGGGAGCAAACAGGAUUAGAUACCCUGGUAGUCCACGCCGUAAACGAUGAGUACUAGGUGUAGGA